CUCUAAAGCUAGAAAAAAGUGCAGUUUAAAGAAGAAAGUGCAAUUUCUCAAGAGAAUGGUUAUCAAAUUCAUAAAAGAAAUGAAAAAACAGAGAAGUCUCACACUAAAUUUCCCACUCUGGCUCUUAGCCUUUUGCAGGGGACAAGUCCUAGUUUCUACCUUCAUAGAAAGCAACGUGGGACCGCAGCUGGGUGGCCACUCUACCUCCUUCCGGCUUCCGGUGGGGACAGCGGAUACACAGCACCAAGAGCCAGGGGCAUUUUUAAUGUAAUUUAGUCCAACUUGCUAGGGAACCAAAGCAAAGUAACUUUAGCAGAUCUAGCCAUGUGACUUCUGACAAGUCACUAAACUCUCUGAGACUUCAUUUUCCCCAUCUGCAGCUCUAACUGUCUGUGGUUUGUAUAAUUCCGCCUUUCGAAGAACAUAGAACAAGGUUCAUAAACUUUGAAGUUAGAUAAGCUGCUGGAAAUCCUAACGCUCGCCCUUGAGUGCUGUGUGACUUUGGGUAAGUUAUAGAACUUUUCUGGGCCUCAGUCUCUUUACCUUUUAAAUGAGACUAAGUGUGUACACGAUGCUAAUUAAUUGAGACAGUGCAUGUGAAGGCUUAGCACAGUCUCUGCCACAAGAAUAACACGAGUGAGUUGUUUUUCUUCCUGUCAUUUUAAGGGCUGUAGCAAUAGUGUUUUUGAUUGCAGUGGGUUGUUGACUGACAAGUGAAUGAGUAUUCGUGGACAUGGAAGAUGAGAUAUGAAAAAAGCCACGAGGAUCAGAGUCGCACGGUCAGCUACCAUGGCAAUCCUGAAAAGCUCCUCUACCUGAAUGGCCUGGUGCCUCAAUAAUUCCCCUGGAGAUCCUGUUCCCUUUCUCAACCUUGGAACUCUGCAUAUUCAACCAGUUGAGUCAACCUCCAACGGAGUGAGAUCAGGCAUCUUCAGUGACCUUAAAAAGCCAGCUUGGCUCUCUAGCCAAGACUCAGAGGCCUGGAGCAAAAUCAGAAUUACUAUGAUACGGAAAAGAAUGCGUGGACGGAAAGCUCCUGUUGCAGCCGUGGAAGGCACUGAUGGAAAUGCUGUUCGGGGGAAUGUGUGUGGAUCUGGUGGGCUAGGCACCCCAGGAAGGCCCCUGGCCCAGUGUAUUUGUUGCAUGUUUCUUACUGCCUUUGGAGAGAUUACCUGGUGCAGUAAUACUGGUGCUCUCGAAGUCAAAUAGUCAUGGCCGAAGAGCUUCUCCAGUGCUCGGUCUUUCCGGACUUCAGUGGUCUCCACCAGCUCUUUAUGACAUCCUGUGCCAAGGCCGAUCGUCCUCCUCGGCGUUCACAGACCUGCCUCACCUCCUGCCGUGCUCUAUGUCAUCUCUUAAGCCUCCCACCCAUGCCCCUUCCUGAAGUCACCCUGCGGCUCUGAGGUUCCUGUGGCUCUUUCUUUGUCAGCUUUGCAGAUGAGGGCACAUCAGUGCCUCAAGAUCCUUCAAGCCCAUGGGCUGUGACUUCGUGCUUCUGUUGUCUUCUCUGGUAACCAAAGGUACUUUGCUAUGAAGAGAAAACCCCUUAGUAACCAACGUGGCUCUCAAUCACAUC
ensembl:lincRNA